UGGGGAAUAUUGCACAAUGGGCGAAAGCCUGAUGCAGCGACGCCGCGUGGGGGAUGACGGCCUUCGGGUUGUAAACCCCUUUCGGCAGGGGACAAGCCUUCGGGUGAGGGUACCUGCGGAAGAAGCGCCGGCUAACUACGUGCCAGCAGCCGCGGUAAUACGUAGGGCGCGAGCGUUAUCCGGAAUUAUUGGGCGUAAAGAGCUCGUAGGCGGUUUGUCGCGUCUGCUGUGAAAGCCCGGGGCUCAACCGCGGGCCUGCAGUCGAUACGGGCAGGCUAGAGUUCGGUAGGGGAGACUGGAAGUUCCCGGUGUAGCGGUGAAAUGCGUAGAUAUCGGGAGGAACACCGGUGGCGAAGGCGGUUCUCUGGGCAUGACCUGACGCUGAGGAGCGAAAGUGUGGGGAGCGAACAGGAUUAGAUACCC
rnacentral:rRNA from 1 species